rnacentral:lncRNA from 1 species
CCGAAGGGUCUGACAAGUUAUUCGGGGAGGUUGGAUGUCACUGGGGAAUCCCUGGGAAGCCUUUGAGCAGUUAAGAGCCCCAGAGUUUGAGCGUUGGCUUAAGCUUUAGAAUGAUCAUGUUGCCUUCAUCGUUAGUAAUGGAGUGAGGGAAAGAAGACUGGGAGGCGAUGGGAAGGAAGGACAGUGGGAAGGCAAGGGCAAGCUGGCUGUGGCCUGCCAGGAGGAACUGGCCUGCUCCACACUCUCCUCGUCCUGGUUGGAGGAACCCACUGCUGGACCUGCCAUCACACUGGUAGCUGGUGUCAAGAGGGGCUUGCUGGUCUGCUGAGGACCGCUGAUUGCUUGAGUGUGUAUCCUCUCUGGGGCAAAAGAGCAAAGAUUCUUCAUUCAUCUUAGAGAUGCUGGGAAGGAAGUGGCGGGGUUGGGGAGCUGCUUCUGUGUGUUAUUGUACUUUUGCCCAGCCUGCCUCCCUGUAGGAAGAGGUGGGCAGAAUAUCAGCUUCCAAAGAACCAAGGGAUGAGAGAUUGCUGGCUUGAAAUUCUCUCUCUUGCCGGGCGCACGCCUUUAAUCCCAGCACUCGGGAGGCAGAGGCAGAUGGAUUUCUGAGUUCGAGGCCAGCCUGGUCUACAAAGUGAGCUCAAGGACAGCCAGAGCUAUAAAGAGAAACCCUGUCUCAAAAAACCAACCAACCAACCAAACAAACAAACAAAACAAACAAACAAAAAAAGAAAUUCCCUCUCUGCUGGGUUCCCUCUUGGCUUCCGAGUUUGUCUGUUAAGAAAAAAAAAAAAAAAACUUGAACAUAGUCAGAGAAUGACCUCACAUCCUUUGGAUGCUGCCCUAGAAUCCUGUAAGUGUCCUGCCUGAUGGCAUCUGAAGCUUUGGGCAUGGGCUGCGUGCGCAUGUUUUGUCAAUAAUGUUCUCUUGGAGCCCAGCCACACCCUUUCGUGUGCAGGGUGACUGGUACAUCUGCCGUGGAGCUGAAUGGUGGCAACAGGGACCAUAUGGCUCAGGAAGCAGACUGUGAUUGACUGCUCCUCUGCCACACAGGCCUGCUGACCCCACACUGCGAUCUGAUUUACUGUUUACUUGGUGUUUG